GUUAUUAUUGAGGUUUAAUUUUGGUAAUUAUAAUAUAUUUGAUUAGUAUUAUGAGUGAUGGUUAAGGAGUUUUUAUAGGUUAAUAGUACUGUUAAGGAAAUUAUUUUAUUUGUUAAUAAAAUUAGGUUUUUUAUUACCUUUUGUAUUAGGGUUUAUUGAUGUGCUUAAAUAUGGAUUUUGUCUCGAUGAAUAUCGGGCUAUUUUGCUAGUGUUAUUUUUGUUGAAUAAAAUUAAUUAUGGCUUAAUAGUUAUGAAAUAUUAUUCAAGUUAUUUUUUAUCUGGUUUUCUUAGAGGUAUAAUUAAAGGUAUUUUUAUUAUAAAGGUAAGUUGGGAUUAGCUAGUUUAUUGUUUGUAUAUUAAAUGGAUUUGUUUUUGUUAGUGGAGUUAAAAGUUCUUAUUUAUAAGAUGUUAUUAUAUAAUAGAUUUAUAUUUGUAUUAUUUUUUAAUAUUAUGUUGAGAUUGGGAAUGUUAAUUUAAUUUUUAUUUGAUGUUAUAAUGAUAAAAUUAGUAAUAUGUUUAUUUAUUGAUUUAGAUUAGGUAAUUUUUGAUAAUGAGGGGGUUGUGAAUUGAUUUUGAAGAAUUAGGCAAAGUUAGCUCUUGACUGUUUAGCAAAAACAUUGUUUUUUGUUUGGAUAAGAAAUAAGGUCUGUCCGCUGCUUAGGGGUGAAGGGCUGCAGUAUAUUGACUGUAUGAAGGUAGCAUAAUCAUUAGUUUUUUAAUUGGAAGCUGGUAUGAAGGUGAAACAGGGGCUUGCUAUUUUAAUGUUAAUUAGUGAAUUUUAUUUUUAUGUGAAAAAUCAUAAUUGUGUUUAAGGGACAAGAAGACCCUAGUAAGUUUUAUUUUUUGUUAUGAGGGGUAUGUAGUUUAUUAGAUUAAUAUUAUUUGUGAUUUUGAAAUUUGACUGGGGCGGUAUGUAAUAGAACAUUAUUUAAUUUUUAAUUUUUGUUAGCGUUAGUUAGACCUAAGUUGGUUAGUUGAAGGUGAAAUUACUGUAGGGAUAACAGCGUAAUUUUUUUUAAGAGUUCUUAUUGACGGGAAA
rnacentral:rRNA from 1 species